AGAGUUUGAUCCUGGCUCAGAGCGAACGCUGGCGGCAUGCUUAACACAUGCAAGUCGCACGGGCAGGGGUAACUCUGUCAGUGGCGGACGGGUGAGUAACGCGUAGGUAUCUAUCCUUGGGUGGGGGACAACCGUGGGAAACUACGGCUAAUACCGCAUGAUAACUGAGGUUUAAAGGCGCAAGUCGCCUGGGGAGGAGCCUGCGUACGAUUAGCUAGUUGGUGGGGUAAAGGCCUACCAAGGCUGUGAUCGUUAGCUGGUCUGAGAGGAUGAUCAGCCACAUUGGGACUGAGACACGGCCCAAACUCCUACGGGAGGCAGCAGUGGGGAAUAUUGGACAAUGGGCGCAAGCCUGAUCCAGCAAUGCCGCGUGUGUGAAGAAGGUCUUCGGAUUGUAAAGCACUUUCGGCGGGGACGAUGAUGACGGUACCCGCAGAAGAAGCCCCGGCUAACUUCGUGCCAGCAGCCGCGGUAAUACGAAGGGGGCUAGCGUUGCUCGGAAUGACUGGGCGUAAAGGGCGCGUAGGCGGAUGGUACAGUCAGAUGUGAAAUUCCCGGGCUUAACCUGGGGGCUGCAUUUGAUACGUGCGAUCUGGAGUGAGGAAGAGGGUCGUGGAAUUCCCAGUGUAGAGGUGAAAUUCGUAGAUAUUGGGAAGAACACCGGUGGCGAAGGCGGCGACCUGGUCCUUGACUGACGCUGAGGCGCGAAAGCGUGGGGAGCAAACAGGAUUAGAUACCCUAGUAGUCC
rnacentral:rRNA from 1 species